UACGGAGGGUGCGAGCGUUGUCCGGAAUCAUUGGGCGUAAAGGGCGCGUAGGUGGCACGAUCAGCGUGCGGUGAAAGCUCGGGGCUCAACCCCGGGUCGGCCGUGUGAACUAUCGAGCUGGAGCACUGUAGAGGCAGGCGGAAUUCCGGGUGUAGCGGUGGAAUGCGUAGAGAUCCGGAAGAACACCGGUGGCGAAGGCGGCCUGCUGGGCAGUAGCUGACACUGAGGCGCGGACAGCGUGGGGAGCAAACAGG
rnacentral:rRNA from 1 species